AUUGAACGCUGGCGGCAGGCCUAACACAUGCAAGUCGAGCGGAUGAAGGGAGCUUGCUCCUGGUUUCAGCGGCGGACGGGUGAGUGAUGCCUAGGAAUCUGCCUGGUAGUGGGGGAUAACGUCCGGAAACGGGCGCUAAUACUGCAUACGUCCUGAGGGAGAAAGAGGGGGAUCUUCGGACCUCACGCUAUCAGAUGAGCCUAGGUCGGAUUAGCUAGUUGGUGGGGUAAAGGCCUACCAAGGCGACGAUCCGUAACUGGUCUGAGAGGGUGAUCAGUCACACUGGAACUGAGACACGGUCCAGACUCCUACGGGAGGCAGCAGUGGGGAAUAUUGGACAAUGGGCGAAAGCCUGAUCCAGCCAUGCCGCGUGUGUGAAGAAGGUCUUCGGAUUGUAAAGCACUUUAAGUUGGGAGGAAGGGCAGUAAGUUAAUACCUUGCUGUUUUGACGUUACCAACAGAAUAAGCACCGGCUAACUUCGUG
rnacentral:rRNA from 1 species